rnacentral:rRNA from 1 species
UACAGAGGUCUCAAGCGUUUGUUCGGAUUCAUUGGGCGUAAAGGGUGCGUAGGCGGCGUGGUAAGUCGGGGUGUGAAAUCUCGGAGCUUAACUCCGAAACUGCAUUCGAUACUGCCGUGCUUGAGGACUGGAGAGGAGACUGGAAUUUACGGUGUAGCGGUGAAAUGCGUAGAUAUCGUAAGGAAGACCAGUGGCGAAGGCGGGUCUCUGGACAGUUCCUGACGCUGGAGGCACGAAGGCCAGGGGAGCAAACGGG